rnacentral:rRNA from 1 species
GCGAAGCGGGAAGAGCCCAGAAUGAAAAGCUCCCGUCAGGGCGCAUUGUAAUCUGGAGACGUGCCUCGUGCGGGGCGGCUGGACUCAAGUCUGCUGGAAAGCAGCAUCGUAGAGGGUGAAAAUCCCGUGCUUGGUCUGGCUCUGCACCGUGUUGUGGGGCGCGCUCGACGAGUCGCGUUGUUUGGGAAUGCAGCGCAAAGUAGGGUGGUAAACGCCAUCCAAGGCUAAAUAUGGGGGAGAGACCGAUAGCGAACAAGUACCGUGAGGGAAAGAUGAAAAGAACUUUGGAAAGAGAGUUAAACAGUACGUGAAAUUGCCAAAAGGGAAGCGUUGGCAGUCAGUACCGCAAGGUGUGCCCUGUCUCCUUUUCUUACGGAAAGGAUCAAGGGGUGCACGUGGGGCUCAUGUCGGUUUGCGGCGGGGGAGAAGUCUGUGGGGAAGGUGGCUCUUGCUUCGGCAGGAGUGUUAUAGCCCUGCAGCGGAUACUCUGCCUUGCGGACCGAGGCUUACCCCUCGCAAGGGGGGUAGGACAUGGGCUUAAUGGCUUUCAGCGGCCCGUCUUGAAACACGGACCAAGGAGUCUAACAUGUSUGCGAGUAUGUGGGUGGCAAACCCGGCGUGCGUAAUGAAAGUGAUUUUGGUAYGAUUCMGUAACMGGAUGCAGUACCGGCCGGCCCUGAGGGUGCGCCCAAAAGGGGUCUGAGCAAGAGCAUACAUGUUGGGACCCGAAAGAUGGUGAACUUUACCUGACGAGGACGAAGCCAGGGGAAACCCCGGUGGAGGUCCGUUGCGGUUCUGACGUGCAAAUCGAUCGUAUCAGUUGGGUAAAGGGGCG